rnacentral:lncRNA from 1 species
CCUAGAGGAUGGUUUUCUCAUCCAGCUUACAACACUAGAAGAAUCAGACUCAACAAUAAUUUUCUUGUUGGACAAAUCACCUCUCAAAGAUGAUAAUUCUAAUGCCUUUGCCACCGCUAUCAACUCUGCUUCAUUGGAGUCUUUGAUCCCAACUGAAAUAGAAAACACACCCAUAACCAAUCCCAUGUGGUCGCGUAAGACUCCACCUGUACGUGUUGGACCAGGUUUUCCAGAAAAGGAACC